rnacentral:rRNA from 1 species
AGCGAACGCUGGCGGCAGGCCUAAUACAUGCAAGUCGAACGGCUCUUCGGAGCAGUGGCGGACGGGUGAGUUACACGUGGGAACGUGCCCUUUGGUACGGAACAACUGAGGGAAACUUCAGCUAAUACCGUAUGUGCCCCCAUUCUUAGCGGGAUGGGUGGGAAAGAUUUAUCGCCAUUGGAGCGGCCCGCGUUGGAUUAGCUAGUUGGUGGGGUAAAGGCCCACCAAGGCUACGAUCAGUAGCUGGUCUGAGAGGAUGAUCAGCCACACUGGGACUGAGACACGGCCCAGACUACUACGGGAGGCAGCAGUUAGGAAUCGUGGACAAUGGGCGCAAGCCUGAUCCAGCCAUGCCGCGUGAGUGAUGAAGGCCUUAGGGUUGUAAAGCUCUUUCAGCGGGGAAGAUAAUGACGGAACCCGCAGAAGAAGCCCCGGCUAACUUCGUGCCAGCCGCCGCAGUAA